rnacentral:rRNA from 1 species
CCUACGGGAGGCAGCAGUAAGGAAUAUUGGUCAAUGGAGGCAACUCUGAACCAGCCAUGCCGCGUGCAGGAAGAAGGCCCUAUGGGUCGUAAACUGCUUUUGUACCAGAGAAAACCCGAGUACGUGUACUCGGUUGAUAGUAUGGUAAGAAUAAGCAUCGGCUAACUUCGUGCCAGCAGCCGCGGUAAGACGAAGGAUGCAAGCGUUAUCCGGAUUCAUUGGGUUUAAAGGGUGCGUAGGCGGACUGAUAAGUCAGUGGUGAAAUCUCUCAGCUUAACUGAGAAACUGCCAUUGAUACUGUUAGUCUAGAGUAUAGAUGACGUUGGCGGAAUAUGACAUGUAGUGGUGAAAUACUUAGAUAUGUCAUAGAACACCGAUUGCGAAGGCAGCUAACGAAACUAUAACUGACGCUGAGGCACGAAAGUGCGGGGAUCAAACAGGAUUAGAUACCCUGGUAGUCCGCACCGUAAACGAUGAUUACUCGUUGUUGGCAAUAUGACCGUCAGCGACCAAGCGAAAGCGAUAAGAAUCCACCNGGGGGUACGCCGGCAACGGUGAAACUCAAAGGAAUUGACGG